rnacentral:rRNA from 1 species
UACGGGAGGCAGCAGUGGGGAAUAUUGCACAAUGGGCGCAAGCCUGAUGCAGCCAUGCCGCGUGUAUGAAGAAGGCCUUCGGGUUGUAAAGUACUUUCAGCAGUGAGGAAGGUGGGUAUGUUAAUAGCAUAUUCAUUUGACGUUAGCUGCAGAAGAAGCACCGGCUAACUCCGUGCCAGCAGCCGCGGUAAUACGGAGGGUGCGAGCGUUAAUCGGAAUUACUGGGCGUAAAGCGCAUGCAGGUGGUUUGUUAAGUCAGAUGUGAAAGCCCGGGGCUCAACCUCGGAAUUGCAUUUGAAACUGGACAAACUAGAGUACUGUAGAGGGGGUAGAAUUUCAGGUGUAGCGGUGAAAUGCGUAGAGAUCUGAAGGAAUACCGGUGGCGAAGGCGGCCCCCUGGACAGAUACUGACACUCAGAUGCGAAAGCGUGGGGAGCAAACAGGAUUAGAUACCCUGGUAG